rnacentral:rRNA from 1 species
GACGAACGCUGGCGGCGUGCCUAAUACAUGCAAGUAGAACGCUGAAGAGAGGAGCUUGCUCUUCUUGGAUGAGUUGCGAACGGGUGAGUAACGCGUAGGUAACCUGCCUUGUAGCGGGGGAUAACUAUUGGAAACGAUAGCUAAUACCGCAUAACAAUGGAUGACCCAUGUCAUUUAUUUGAAAGGGGCAAAUGCUCCACUACAAGAUGGACCUGCGUUGUAUUAGCUAGUAGGUGAGGUAACGGCUCACCUAGGCGACGAUACAUAGCCGACCUGAGAGGGUGAUCGGCCACACUGGGACUGAGACACGGCCCAGACUCCUACGGGAGGCAGCAGUAGGGAAUCUUCGGCAAGGGGGGCAACCCUGACCGAGCAACGCCGCGUGAGUGAAGAAGGUUUUCGGAUCGUAAAGCUCUGUUGUAAGUCAAGAACGAGUGUGAGAGUGGAAAGUUCACACUGUGACGGUAGCUUACCAGAAAGGGACGGCUAACUACGUG